UGCUUGAGGCUUCAGGAAACAAGAAGGGUAUCAGCAGACAAUUCACCUGCCUGCGUGGGAAGCAGCUUUGGCCUCCUCUCCAAGACAGCGUUGAUGUCCAUGGCAAUCCUCAGGACUUCCUCCUCACAGUGAGCUCACAGGGAUACUGGCACCUGAUUUAUCAAUCCCAAUUUGAGAGAGGGAUGAGCAUCCUUGGGUAAUAUAAGGACUCAAGGAGCUAUAUGGAAGAGGAGGCAGGAAGAUUCUAAGAGUCAGAAGGGACGGAUGACUUCAAGGAAUCAUUGUCUUCCAGACACAUCAGGACUGAUGCACAUAUGAACUCACAGAGACCAUGGCAACCUGCACAGGUGAAAGCCAGACAGGGUCCCAGUGCU